rnacentral:tRNA from 4 species
GCGCCCAUCGUCUAGCGGUCAGGACGCCGCCCUCUCACGGCGGCAACACGGGUUCGAGUCCCGUUGGGCGUGCCA